GAUGAACGCUAGCUACAGGCUUAACACAUGCAAGUCGAGGGGAAACGACAUCGAAAGCUUGCUUUUGAUGGGCGUCGACCGGCGCACGGGUGAGUAACGCGUAUCCAACCUGCCCACCACUUGGGGAUAACCUUGCGAAAGUAAGACUAAUACCCAAUGAUAUCUCUAGAAGACAUCUGAAAGAGAUUAAAGAUUUAUCGGUGAUGGAUGGGGAUGCGUCUGAUUAGCUUGUUGGCGGGGUAACGGCCCACCAAGGCAACGAUCAGUAGGGGUUCUGAGAGGAAGGUCCCCCACAUUGGAACUGAGACACGGUCCAAACUCCUACGGGAGGAAGCAGUGAGGAAUAUUGGUCAAUGGACGAGAGUCUGAACCAGCCAAGUAGCGUGCAGGAAGACGGCCCUAUGGGUUGUAAACUGCUUUUAUAAGGGAAUAAAGUGAGUCUCGUGAGACUUUUUGCAUGUACCUGAUGAAUAAGGACCGGCUAAUUCCGUG
rnacentral:rRNA from 1 species